AGAGUUAGAAUGAUUGCCUCUGUGAGUGAAGAUGAAGUACGUGUCUGGUCGGUGAGCAAAGAAAAAUGCAUGCAUAGCUAUCCAUCUAGCGGGAAGAAGUUUCGGUCUUCAUAUUUCAUCCUUGAUACCAUAUGUCCUCAGUUAUUGGUGGCCAUAAGUGUAAUUAUGUGACAAGUAAAAACCCUACCUUGUAUUCUUCCCCCUUUCAACUCAGGUAAAUUAAUCUUUUGAUAUUUCUAGUUUGAAGUUUUCGAUUUCUAUUUCUAUUAUCAAACUCGGUAGGGUUGUUACUGAUUUUGUUAUUGUUGUAGUUAAACUUUUGGGAUUUAAUUCAGUUGUUAGGAAACACUUACGAACGACCGGGCUAAGGAAGGUGAUAAUGAAGUUGAAAAGUCUGAAGAGAAAGCCGUUACUAAGUGGGAACCUACUGCUAAUGGAUACUUGAGGUUCCUUGUUAAUAGCAAACUUGUUUAUGAUACACUCGAGAAAAUUGUUCAACAUGCUGCUUAUCCUUAUUAUGCUGAAUUCAAAAAUACUGGAUUGGAAAGGUAUGCUAGUUUGGACAGAGAUAUGGAAAGUUGGAGAUUUCUUCUCAACUUGCCUAUAUGAAUCUCAGAGCAAAGUUGGGGAUUUCUUCUCAGAAUCCAACUAUUUCAGGAGAGGACGAAGCUAGUAAACCACUAAUGAAAAUGAUCAAACAAAUGAAGAUAGUGUCAAUGAAUUAGAUGAAGAAGACCUUAGUAAUAAAUUUUGAUUUGUACUUGGUGUAUCUUUUUAACUUCGGUGGACAAAUGAUCAUUAGUAGCUUGGUUGUUUGAGUCAUUUUUAGUAA